rnacentral:lncRNA from 1 species
ACCGCCUCCAAUGGCUGUCACGAUCUUGUGGAGCGCAACACCCGGCCACUAGGGCACUCGUCCUGCAAGCAAUCGAAGAACCAGCAAGAACAAGUAGAACAAGUACUAAAUUACCAGAUGUUAAUGAAGGUUUCAAACUCAAUCUCUAAUGAAGUGGGGUUUUCGAAAACAAGAAGACGGGCGGCUGGAUCAGCAUGCGCGUUUACAAGCAAGUAGCGAAGGCUAAACUUUAUCUAAUCAAAACUCAGUUGUUCAUAGCGGCUCUAGAUGUAAAUAAAUAGAGGGGACGACGACCAAAGGGGUGCUAGAGUCGUCCUCCAACCCUAGGACGCGUCCCUAAUGGACUCAACUUGAUACAUGGGCCAUUGGUCCAAAAUAGGGUGACGCAGCACCAAAACAGAAAAAGGUGUCGGCACGAAAACAAGGACUGCGCCCGACUCAUAAGCCGCAUAGAUAUGUGGUUGGACCCAUUGGAAAGUAGACUUCAUGAGCUUUCCAACAAGUAUAGGAACGUCCGAGUUGGAGUCCAUAUGACGCCGUGGUGAUCCAUACAAGUUAGAGUUAUUUUCCAGUCCGAAUCCAACUCCCAAAACGUGUUGGGUUUGGACUCUUUGUUUCCUUGCUUUAGAAACGACGUGGUAACUUGACAGAGGAUGUUGUGGAGGCUUGGACCUGAUCUCCAAUCACCUUUGUUAAGUUAUCACUCUUCCCAUAUGCAAUCAGCCCUUGAAGUUGGUGUUGCCUCAAAUUCUGAAUGCAGUUGAACCUUCCCUUGCUGAUCUUGUCCAUUAUUCCUGAGCAACACCAAAGUGCACGUGUCUCCAUUGUCUAAAUAUGAUUGACAAGAGUUUAAAGCUGAACUUACUUGAAGGUUGAGUUGACGGGCACGAGCACGAGUAAGAGGACCAGCUAUAGGUUGUGUCGGAGAGGAUGUAGGAUAUGUAUCGCUGGUGGAUGUAGGAUAUGUAUCGCUGGUGGAUGUAGGAUAUGUAUCGCUGGUGUUGAUGUCCUCAUCAUCCUCCCUUUCUUGCAUUUGAGUCGUCCUCGACUCAAGCUCAUCUUCCUCACCCAAAUAAGGCUUCAAAUCUUUGUCUAGUAGUUCUUGCACUUGUCGCUGAAUUUCCUUUGUUUCCUCCGGGUUUGUCCUGUAUGGUGCACGAUUUGGCAAAACUGAUCCAGGAAUAAGAUCAAUUUGGUGCUCAAUCCCGCGUUGUGGAGGCAGCCCCGCUGGUACAUCACUUGGAAACACAUCAGAAUACUCCUGCAAAACGUUAGCAACAGCAGGGGGCAAAGAACAUUGCAUAUCCUCAACUGAAAUCAAAGCAUCCUUGCAUAUCAAAGCAUAAGCAACAGAAGUGGAUGCAUUGAACUCGUUAAUAUCUGAUUUGGUAGCUAUCAUACAACGUCCUUUCAGUUUUAUCUCAUCUUUGUUACCAAUUACAGAUUUAUCAUUUUUAUUGCUCUUGCUCUUUGCUUUAGUAGCCCUAGCAACAUCAGUUUGCAUAAUAGUUUCAGGGGACAUAGGAUGCAACACAAUUUUGCGAUCAUGGUAUAGAAAAGAAUACUGAUUUGAUCUACCAUGAUGCAUAGAAUCUCUAUCAAAUUGCCAAGGUCUACCUAGCAGAAUGUUACAAGCUUGCAUAGGCACAACAUCACAUUCAACAAUAUCUUUGUAGAAUCCGAUGGAAAAAUUAAUUCUCACAAGUCUAGUUACCUUUGCCUUACCACUGUUGUUCAGCCAUUGUAUGUAGUAGGGAUGCGGGUGUGGUUUGGUGUUGAGGGCAAGCUUCUGCACCAUAUCGCUGCUUGCCAAGUUGUUGCAGCUACCUCCAUCAAUGAUCAUGCGACAAGAACGCUCUUUGAUGACACACUUUGUUUGGAAUAAAAGGUCUCCCUGAUUUUGCUCUGCCAUCUCCAUUUGUGCACUAAGCACUCGCUGCACGAUCAAGCUCUCAUAGUGGUCCGCUUCACCUGCAUUAAUAUGUUCUUCUAUUUGAUCUUCAUUACCUGCAUGGUCAGUCGCAAGCAGUGCAAGUGUAUCCUCAUCAAAAUCACUAGCAGAUGAGUACUCACCAUCAUCCCUGACAAUCAUAACUCGCUUGUUUGGACAGUCACGCAUCAUGUGCCCAUAUCCCUUGCACCGGUGACAUUGUAUGUUGCUUGUUCUACCCGUCGAUGCCACGGAUGAAGUACUCGUAGCAGGCUUUUGCAUCGUCUUCGCAACUGAAUUGGUGGGGGCAGCUCGAGUCUUGUCACUAGAUGAUGGAGUAGAAAUACGUGUAGAUGGAGUUGAAGCCACGCGUUGCUGCCAUGAAUUAGCCUUCCCUGCAGAAAUAUUACUCCUUGCGCUAGCACGUCGUCCCUGCACUUCCCUUUCAGCUUUACAAGCAAGAUGAAACAAACGGGUUACGUUAGUAUAAUCUUUACAAGCAAGAAUGUCCUGGAUUUCACGAUUUAACCCGCCCAAAAAUCUAGCCAUAGCAGGUUCUUCUUCCUCCUCUAAAUUACAUCGCAGCAUACCCAUUUGUAAUUCCUGAUAAUAUUCUUCUACACUUUUAGCACCUUGUCUCAAUUGCUGCAACUUAUUAAUCAUGUCAUGUGCAUAGUAAGAAGGAACAAAUCUAGCCCUCAUGACUUGUUUCAACGCAUUCCAAGUUCUAGGUAUGUUAUUAGGAUUUUUCUUGCCAUGUUCUAUCCACCAAACGGAAGCAAAAUCGGUGAACUCACUAGUAGCAGCCCUAACACGUGUAUCCUCAGGGAAUUCAUGACAUGUAAACUUUUGGUCAACAGCAAUCUCCCAAGUAAUGUAUGCAUCAGGGUCAUAUUUACCAUCAAAAGGAGGUAUUUUAAAUUUAAUCUUACUGAAAGCAUCAUUAUUAUUGUGUACCUCGCGUCGGUGGUGGGCACCCAUACCUCUAUGGGUGUGACGUAGGCGACGUCGAUGAUGAGUGUCUUGAUCAUCUCGUUCCGUAUCAGCAGUGUAAUCAUCAUCAUAAUUGCCAUCCACUCGGUCUUCCUCCUUGUUUUCUUCUUUAUGCUUCUCUUUAUCUUCGGUGUGGAAAUCAUCCAAUCGCCUUAGGAGAGCAGCAAGGCUUUUGUCCACACUAGCAACGGAUUCCUCCAAACUUGUGAGCUUGUUGUUUGUGGCAAUCUACGUAGCCUCCAACUGCCCCAGCUUUUCAUUCGUCACCUGCAAGUCGUUAUCAAGUCCCUCUGUGUGCAGCUUCACUUUCCUUUCAAAAUGUUGUAUGAUGCCCUUAGUGCGAGGUGUAAGUGGUGUUUCGUUACCAUCAUCUGCCCCUGGCAUGGUUCAAAGACAAAGACAACAAAAAGGCAAGUGAAGAAAUAAAAGCCCUACAACUACUAGGAUGUAGCUACAGCAAGUCGCUCACACUCAACCUGUAACACAAGUUCUUACCAAUUCUUACCUUGCUUGACAGGAGGGGUCGUCUGCCAACAAGUGUACAGCAAUGGACGAAGUGUAUCGGUGCUGCAGCACAAGACCUGUCAAGCUGUAGAGUAUGUGGAGCUAUAGGUGGGCUGAAACAAGGAACGAACUAGCACCAUGUUAGUUAUAAAAGCGAGCUGAAUAAACGCUCAACGGUGGUACUGUGCUGGUCCUAGCCUAGACCGUGCUAGAGACGCGAGCCUGGACACAAAGGGAAAACACAGCACACAACUAGAAACAAAAUGAGCAGCCCUACUGGAAACAAAAGGAACAACAAUCCCCUUCUUUUGAUUUUUUUUUCUUUUUUCUUUCUUUCUUUCUUUUUUUUUUCUUUAUUUUUUUUCUUUCUCUUUUCUUUUUUUUGGGGAACCUCAAAACCUGAUUAUAUAAACAAAAUAGUACAAAAUAUCACUUCACCACUCUCACCCUCUCACUAGAGUAAGGCUGAACCUCAAAAUUCAAUAUAUCUAGCACAAGUAUGAAGUGCUAUCUUUCCUUUUGGAUCACGUUGAUGGAAACGCAGAAUAGACAAACAAGUGGCUGCACCUAUUAUCAAGAUCUACUCAAAUUCCAACCCACAAUAGAUUGGACGCAGUUGUGACUAGAUGGUGACAAGAACUCAAAACUCUAAAGGACUAAACUAAAACCAGCACUGGACACGACCGAAGCAAACACUCAUUCAACCAGCCCUAACUAAGUAGUACUAGCCACGGCACAAAGGAUUUAUAGGAUUAUGGAAAACAAAUCUGCUAUAUUUUUUGUCUUUUUUUUGGACUAUAGGAAAAACAAACACGAAGAAUUGGAAAUCUCUCACCGAUAAACCUUGCUCUGAUACCAACUGAUGUGAACCCACUAGGGUUUUCGCCUGAUCUUUCGAUGAGAGGCGCUGGAUAACUCGAUUAGUGAAUGGAGAUGACGUUCACGGCCCGACUACAGCCCUCAAGACUGCGCCUUAGCAACCGAUACACCGCCUCCAAUGGCUGUCACGAUCUUGUGGAGCGCAACACCCGGCCACUAGGGCACUCGUCCUGCAAGCAAUCGAAGAACCAGCAAGAACAAGAAGAACAAGUACUAAAUUACCAGAUGUUAAUGAAGGUUUCAAACUCAAUCUCUAAUGAAGUGGGGUUUCGAAAACAAGAAGACGGGCGGCUGGAUCAGCACGCGCGUUUACAAGCAAGUAGCGAAGGCUAAACUUUAUCUAAUCAAAACCCAGUUGUUCAUGGCGGCUCUAGAUGUAAAUAAAUAGAGGGGAGGACGACCAAAGGGGUGCUAGAGUCGUCCUCCAACCCUAGGACGCGUCCCUAAUGGACUCAACUUGAUACAUGGGUCAUUGGUCCAAAAUAGGGUGACGCAGCACCAAAACAUAAAAAGGUGUCAGCACGAAAACAAGGACUGCGCCCGACUCAUAAGCCGCAUAGAUAUGUGGUUGGACCCAUUGGAAAGUAGACUUCAUGAGCUUUCCAACAAGUAUAGGAACGUCCCAGUUGGAGUCCAUAUGACGCCGUGGUGAUCCAUACAAGUUA